rnacentral:rRNA from 1 species
UACGUAGGUGGCAAGCGUUGUCCGGAAUUAUUGGGCGUAAAGCGCGCGCAGGCGGUCCUUUAAGUCUGAUGUGAAAGCCCACGGCUCAACCGUGGAGGGUCAUUGGAAACUGGGGGACUUGAGUACAGAAGAGAAGAGUGGAAUUCCACGUGUAGCGGUGAAAUGCGUAGAGAUCCGGAGGAACCCCAGAGGCGAAGGCGGCGUCCCUGGCUCGCAUCUGACGCUCGAGACACGACAGCAUGGGAGCGAACGGG